UACGAAGGGGGCUAGCGUUGCUCGGAAUCACUGGGCGUAAAGGGCGCGUAGGCGGAUCUUUAAGUCGGGGUGAAAGCCUGAGGCUCAACCUCAGAAUUGCCUUCGAUACUGGAGAUCUUGAGACCGGAAGAGGUAAGUGGAACUGCGAGUGUAGAGGUGAAAUUCGUAGAUAUUCGCAAGAACACCAGUGGCGAAGGCGGCUUACG
rnacentral:rRNA from 1 species